rnacentral:rRNA from 1 species
CGGCAAUGGAGGAAACUCUGACCGAGCAACGCCGCGUGAACGAUGAAGUAUUUCGGUACGUAAGGUUCUUUUAUUAGGGAAGAAUAAAUGAUGGAAAAAUCAUUCUGACGGUACCUAAUGAAUAAGCCCCGGCUAACUAUGUGCCAGCAGCCGCGGUAAUACAUAGGGGGCAAGCGUUAUCCGGAAUUACUGGGCGUAAAGGGUGCGUAGGCGGUUAAAUAAGUUUAUGGUCUAAGUGCAAUGCUUAACAUUGUGAUGCUAUAAAAACUGUUUAACUAGAGUAAGAUAGAGGCAAGUGGAAUUCCAUGUGUAGUGGUAAAAUGCGUAAAUAUAUGGAGGAACACCAGUAGUGAAGGCGGCUUGCUGGGUCUUUACUGACGCUGAGGCACGAAAGCGUGGGGAGCAAACAGGAUUAGAUACCCUGGUAGUCCACGCCGUAAACGAUGAGUACUAAAUGUUGGGUAAAACCAGUGUUGAAGUUAACACAUUAAGUACUCCGCCUGAGUAGUACGUACGCAAGUAUGAAACUUAAAGGAAUUGACGGGACUCCGCACAAGCGGUGGAUCAUGUUGUUUAAUUCGAAGGUACCCGAAAAACCUCACCAGGUCUUGACAUGCUUCUGCAAAGCUGUAGAAACACAGUGGAGGUUAUCAGUUGCACAGGUGGUGCAUGGUUGUCGUCAGCUCGUGUCGUGAGAUGUUGGGUUAAGUCCCGCAACGAGCACGACCCUUAUUGUUAGUUGCCAGCACGUAAUGGUGGGGACUUUAGCAAGACUGCCAGUGAUAAAUUGGAGGAAGGUGGGGACGACGUCAAAUCAUCAUGCCCCUUAUGACCUGGGCUACAAACGUGAUACAAUGGCUGUUACAAAGAGUAGCUGAA